GAUGAACGCUGGCGGCGUGCCUAAUACAUGCAAGUCGAACGCUUCACUUCGGUGAAGAGUGGCGAACGGGUGAGUAAUACAUAAGUAACCUGGCAUCUACAGGGGGAUAACUGAUGGAAACGUCAGCUAAGACCGCAUAGGUGUAGAGAUCGCAUGAACUCUAUAUGAAAAGUGCUACGGGACUGGUAGAUGAUGGACUUAUGGCGCAUUAGCUUGUUGGUAGGGUAACGGCCUACCAAGGCGACGAUGCGUAGCCGACCUGAGAGGGUGACCGGCCACACUGGGACUGAGACACGGCCCAGACUCCUACGGGAGGCAGCAGUAGGGAAUUUUCGGCAAUGGGGGAAACCCUGACCGAGCAACGCCGCGUGAAGGAAGAAGUAAUUCGUUAUGUAAACUUCUGUCAUAGAGGAAGAACGGUGGAUAUAGGGAAUGAUAUCCAAGUGACGGUACUCUAUA
rnacentral:rRNA from 1 species